UCAUCUCGUCUCCUCUCGACUGAAUCGGUCCGAAAAGCCGCUCAUCUUCUUCACUAGUGUGUUCUUCGCGUUUCUGAAUAGAGAUGAGCAGCAAUCCGGCGCUGUUUUCCGAUAUUGGCAAGAAAGCCAAAGACCUCUUGAACAAAGAUUAUACUUUCGACCACAAGUUUACCCUGUCAUUGCCGAGUACUACUGGACUGGGACUUACAGCUACUGGUUUGAAGAAGGACCAAUUUUUCACUGGUGACAUUAAUAGUGUGUACAAGGGUGAAAAUACUAUUGUGGAUGUAAAAGUUGAUACAUAUUCUAAUGUAUCAACAAAAGUGACUCUGAUUGAUAUCUUGCCAUCUACCAAAGCGGCAUUUAGCUUCAAAAUACCAGAUCACAAGUCUGGCAAGUUAGAUGUGCAGUACCUUCAUCCUCAUGCGGCCAUUGAUUCUAGUAUUGGCCUGAAUCCAACUCCUCUUUUGGAGCUAUCUGCAGCAAUUGGAAGCAAAGAACUGGUUGUGGGUGGUGAAGUUUGUUUUGAUACUGGUUCUGCUUCAUUCACCAAGUACAAUGCUGGGAUUGGCUUGAACAAGCCUGAUUUCUCUGCUUCACUUGUACUGGCGGAUAAAGGACAGUCACUUAAAGCAUCUUAUGUACAUGCUGUGAAUCCAUUCACUUCAGUUGCUGCUGAAAUGACUCAUAGGUUUUCUACCUAUGAAAACAGUUUCACUAUUGGAAGUGCUCACGUCGUAGAUCCGUUCACAAUUGUAAAAACACGAUUGUCUGAUGGCGGGAAGGUUGCAAUGCUAUGCCAGCGAGAAUGGCGACCCAAGUCACUGGUAACCCUUUCCGCAGAAUACGACUCAAAGACCAUUAAUGCUGCUCCCAAGUUGGGUCUUGCUCUUGCUCUCAAGCCUUGAUGUGGAACCAACUCUGCCCAAUUCAGCAACUUAAAAUUAAUUCAAUACUUUGAACUUGUUACAUUUUUUCUUUUUUCAAAUACCCAAGAAGGGUUAUGCUUUACGGAUUUCAUACUGGAAAACUGAAAGAUCUAGCGAUGCCUUGAUGGAACAUUCUUGAGCACCGCUUUAUAAACGCAUGCAAUUACUUUUGUUGAGAUUCUGGUUAUAUUUGUAGCAACUAGUUCUAACACAUUAUUGAAGUUCACUUCUGUGAUUACGA